rnacentral:misc_RNA from 1 species
UUUGAGGUAAUGUUAAUAUAAUUGUUAGGGAGGGGAAAAUGUUUUUUUUUUAUAUUUUGAAAUUUUUUAGUUGGAGUAUAGAUUAAAUUAAUAUAAGGUAGAUUAAUAGAAAAAUGAUUUUAAUUAUAUAUAUAGGAAUGGGAGUUUUAUAAAAAUAUGGGGUUUAAGGAAAGGUUAGGUAAUUGAAGUUUAUAUAGUAUUUUGAGUUAAAGAAAGGAAUAUAG